GACGAACGCUGGCGGCGUGCCUAAUACAUGCGAGUAGAACGCUGAAGGAGGAGCUUGCUCUUCUGGAUGAGUUGCGAACGGGUGAGUAACGCGUAGGUAACCUGCCUGGUAGCGGGGGAUAACUAUUGGAAACGAUAGCUAAUACCGCAUAAGAGUAGAUGUUGCAUGACAUUUGCUUAAAAGGUGUAAUUGCAUCACUACCAGAUGGACCUGCGUUGUAUUAGCUAGUUGGUGGGGUAACGGCUCACCAAGGCGACGAUACAUAGCCGACCUGGGAGGGUGAUCGGCCACACUGGGACUGAGACACGGCCCAGACUCCUACGGGAGGCAGCAGUAGGGAAUCUUCGGCAAUGGACGGAAGUCUGACCGAGCAACGCCGCGUGAGUGAAGAAGGUUUUCGGAUCGUAAAGCUCUGUUGUAAGAGAAGAACGAGGGUGAGAGUGGAAAGUUCACACUGUGACGGUAUCUUACCAGAAAGGGACGGCUAACUACGUG
rnacentral:rRNA from 1 species